rnacentral:rRNA from 1 species
GAUUGAACGCUGGCGGCAGGCCUAACACAUGCAAGUCGAGCGGUAGCACAGAGAGCUUGCUCUCGGGUGACGAGCGGCGGACGGGUGAGUAAUGUCUGGGAAACUGCCUGAUGGAGGGGGAUAACUACUGGAAACGGUAGCUAAUACCGCAUAAYGUCGCAAGACCAAAGUGGGGGACCUUCGGGCCUCAUGCCAUCAGAUGUGCCCAGAUGGGAUUAGCUAGUAGGUGGGGUAACGGCUCACCUAGGCGACGAUCCCUAGCUGGUCUGAGAGGAUGACCAGCCACACUGGAACUGAGACACGGUCCAGACUCCUACGGGAGGCAGCAGUGGGGAAUAUUGCACAAUGGGCGCAAGCCUGAUGCAGCCAUGCCGCGUGUGUGAAGAAGGCCUUCGGGUUGUAAAGCACUUUCAGCGGGGAGGAAGGCGDUAAGGUUAAUAACCUURKCGAUUGACGUUACCCGCAGAAGAAGCACCGGCUAACUCC